GUAGGUGGCAAGCGUUGUCCGGAAUUAUUGGGCGUAAAGCGCGCGCAGGCGGUUCUUUAAGUCUGAUGUGAAAGCCCACGGCUCAACCGUGGAGGGUCAUUGGAAACUGGAGAACUUGAGUACAGAAGAGGAAAGCGGAAUUCCACGCGUAGCGGUGAAAUGCGUAGAGAUGUGGAGGAACACCAGUGGCGAAGGCGGCUUUCUGGUCUGUAACUGACGCUGAGGCGCGAAAGCGUGGGGAGCAAACAGGGAUUAGAUACCCUGGUAGUCCACGCCGUAAACGAUGAGUGCUAAGUGUUAGGGGGUUUCCGCCCCCUUAGUGCUGCAGCUAACGCAUUAAGCACUCCGCCUGGGGAGUACGGCCGCAAGGCUG
rnacentral:rRNA from 1 species